rnacentral:rRNA from 1 species
UUAUAUCACAAGUGAGAAUGCCGGAAUGAGUAGCGAGAAUUAUGUGAGAAUCAUAAUGGUCGAAAAUCUAAGGUUUCUUGAGGAAGGUUCGUCCGCUCAAGGUAAGCCGGGAGCUAAGGCGAGGCCGAGAGGCGUAGUCGAUGCACAUACGGUAAAGAUUCCGUAGCCACCGAAGUCGUUAAAUACAGGGACACAGGAACAUAGCCUAACCCCGCCGUUGGUUGAGUGGGGCGUAAGGGAGCGAAAAUUAGUAGCGAAGUAGGUGAUUGUACACUGGCGAGAAAAGCUGUAUGUAUUGAUAAGGUGCCCGUACCGCAAACCGACACAGGUAGAUGAGGAGAGAAUCCUAAGACCAGCGGGAGAAGUGUUGUUAAGGAACGCGGCAAAAUGACCCCGUAACUUCGGGAUAAGGGGAGCCUACGCGAGUAGGCCGCAGAGAAUAGUCUCAAGCGACUGUUUAGCAAAAACACAGGUCUAUGCUAAAUCGAAAGAUGAUGUAUAUGGGCUGACGCCUGCCCGGUGCUGGAAGGUUAAGGGGAAGUGUUAGAGCAAUCGAAGCACUGAACUUAAGCCCCAGUAAACGGCGGCCGUAACGAUAACGGUCCUAAGGUAGCGAAAUUCCUUGUCAGGUAAGUUCUGACCCGCACGAAUGGCGUAACGACUUGAGAGCUGUCUCAACAACAUACCCGGCGAAAUUGAAGUACUGGUAAAGAUGCCAGUUACCCGUGAUAAGACGGAAAGACCCCAUGGAGCUUUACUGUAACUUGAUAUUGAAUUUUUGUAUUACAUGUACAGGAUAGGUGGGAGACAGAGAACUAAUGCCGCCAGGUGUUAGGGAGUCGAUGUUGGGAUACCACUCUUGUAAUAUGAAGGUUCUAACCUGCACCCGUGAAUCCGGGUGGGGGACACUGUCAGGUGGACAGUUUGACUGGGGCGGUCGCCUCCUAAAAGGUAACGGAGGCGUUCAAAGGUUGGUUCAGCACGGACGGAAAUCGUGCAACGAGUGCAAACGCAUAAACCAGCCUAACUGCGAGACCGACAAGUCGAGCAGUAACGAAAGUUGGAGUUAGUGAUCCGGCGGUAUGAGAGUGGAAUUGCCGUCGCUCAACGGAUAAAAGCUACCCUGGGGAUAACAGGCUGAUCUCCCCCAAGAGUCCACAUCGACGGGGAGGUUUGGCACCUCGAUGUCGGCUCAUCGCAUCCUGGAGCUGUAGUCGGUUCCAAGGGUUGGGCUGUUCGCCCAUUAAAGCGGUACGCGAGCUGGGUUCAGAACGUCGCGAGACAGUUCGGUCCCUAUCUAUCACGGGCGUAGGAAAUUUGAGGAGAGCUGACCUUAGUACGAGAGGACCGGGUUGGACGUACCGCUGGUGCACCUGUUGUUCUGCCAAGGGCAUAGCAGGGUAGCUAAGUACGGACGGGAUAAACGCUGAAGGCAUCUAAGCGUGAAGCCCCCUUCGAGAUAAGAUUUCCCAUAGCGUAGGCUAGUAAGGACCCAUGAAGACUACAUGGUUGAUAGGCCGGAGGUGGAAGUGCAGUAAUGUAUGUAGCUGACCGGUACUAAUAGUCCGAGGGCUUGACC